CGCUGCAUCCCGCCGCCGCUGUCCCGCCCUGCGCCGGCCCCGCGCGUCGCUGCAGCCUGCCGCCUCCCCGUGCAGAGAGGUGUGCGCCUUCGGAGUCGCCGCUCUCGGUGGAAAGGGAAAGAAAGACUACUACUCGAUUACUCAUCGGUCAUCGCCCCUCUCCCCUACCGAAUCUGCCCACUGGACCUCUCAUGACACAAGCGCAACAUGGCCUGCCUAUUAAUCCGUGUCGAUCCUUCCUCGACGGCGGCGGCUACGGCAAGACGGGGAAUCCAAACAAAGACAACAGCUAGCGGUGUCUACGGCAAGACAGUAACAAAACAGGUCGACCGACGGUGGAAAGGAGACGUUGUUGCCAAUGGAGAAUACGACGGGGGAUUCGAACAAACCAAGCAAACGCGUUGAUAACCAUACUCGGAAGGAUAAACCAUCAGCGUACAGUAGCACGGGUUGCUCAAAACAAUACAAUGUAAACAAACACCACAUGCACAAGAUGCUGGAGUAUAGGUUUGUAGAGGAAUGCCCGUACCCGGGUCUUAUUCUCGAGCCGUUCUGCUCAUGGAGGGAGAAGGUUGUGGCGGUUCUAAACGUGGUACGCCGCCGAGAAAAAACCGAAGAAAACCCCAAGACAGGCUUGUGUAGACCUACCCGCUUUUGUGAAUGCUACAACAUAGCCUUCUUUGACUUCGAUAAAGAGUGCGAGUAUGUCCUUGUUUUAUUUACUAUCCUUGUUCAAAACUAUUGAUCAGAAAUAGUUCUAAGCAUUGUGCUUGUAAGGUUGCUUCCAACACCUGUUGCUUGAACAAACAAAUCUAAAAAAAUAUUAUAUUAGUCUUAAAAAUUAAUUGA